GACGAACGCUGGCGGCGUGCUUAACACAUGCAAGUCGAACGGAAAGACCCUGCUUUUGUGGGGUGCUCGAGUGGCGAACGGGUGAGUAACACGUGAGUAACCUGCCCUUGACUUUGGGAUAACUUCAGGAAACUGGGGCUAAUACCGGAUAGGAGCUCCUGCUGCAUGGUGGGGGUUGGAAAGUUUCGGCGGUUGGGGAUGGACUCGCGGCUUAUCAGCUUGUUGGUGGGGUAGUGGCUUACCAAGGCUUUGACGGGUAGCCGGCCUGAGAGGGUGACCGGCCACAUUGGGACUGAGAUACGGCCCAGACUCCUACGGGAGGCAGCAGUGGGGAAUAUUGCACAAUGGGCGGAAGCCUGAUGCAGCAACGCCGCGUGCGGGAUGACGGCCUUCGGGUUGUAAACCACUUUCGCCUGUGACGAAGCGUGAGUGACGGUAAUGGGUAAAGAAGCACCGGCUAACUACGUG
rnacentral:rRNA from 1 species